UUUCCGUAGGUGAACCUGCGGAAGGAUCAUUGUCGUGACCCUGACCAAAACAGACCGCGCACGCGUCAUCCAAUCCGCCGGCGGCGGCACCGUCCGUCGCUCGGCCAAGUCCUCGACCACCUCCCCUCCUCGGAGUGGGUGGGGGCUCGGGGUAAAAGAACCCACGGCGCUAAAGGCUUCAAGGAACACUGUGCCUAACCCGGGGGCAUGGCUAGCUUGCUAGCCGUCUCCCGUGUUGCAAAGCUAUUUAAUCCACAUGACUCUCGGCAACGGAUAUCUCGGCUCUC
rnacentral:misc_RNA from 1 species